rnacentral:rRNA from 1 species
AUUGAACGCUGGCGGCAGGCCUAACACAUGCAAGUCGAACGAGUGGCGGACGGGUGAGUACUGUCUGGGAAACUGCCCGAUGGCGAGGGAUACCUACUGGAACCGGUAGCUAAUACCGCAUACAAUCGGAUGUGCCCAGAUGGGAUUAGCUAGGAGGUGGGGUAACGGCUCACCUAGGCGACGAUCCCUAGCUGUUCUGAGAGGAUGACCGCCCACAUGGGAACCGAGACACGGUCCACAGUCCUACGAGCGGAAGCAGUGGGGAAUAUUGCACAAGGGGCUCAAGCCUGAUGCUGCCAUGCCGGUUGUAGGAGGAAGGCCUGCGGGUUGUAAAGUACUUUCAGCGAGGAGGCGUGACUCGCAGAAGAAGCACCGGCUAACUCCGUGCCAGCAGCGGCGGUAAUAC